rnacentral:lncRNA from 8 species
AAUAAUGGGAUAUGACUACUGCUUCUCUCUCAUACUGAAAUAUGGUUUAAGGCACAUGUCAAACUCAUUCCAUGGAGGGCUGAGUGUGGGUUUUCGCUCUUACCUUGUACUUGAUUGAUUAAUUAAUUAAUUGUCACUAAUUAGUAAAUUACUCCCCUCACCUGGUUGUCUAGGUCAGUGUUUCCCAACCCUGGUCAUCCAGUACCUUCAACAGCCCAACCCUGGUCCUCCAGAACCCCCAACAGGCCAACCCUGGUCCUCCAGAACACCCAACAGCCCAACCCUGGUCCUCCAGUACCCCCUACAGCCCAACCCUGGUCCUCCAGUACCCCCUACAGCCAAACCCUGGUCCUCCAGAACCCCCAACAGGCCAACCCUGGUCCUCCAGAACCCCCAACAUUCCAACCCUGGUCCUCCAGAACCCCCAACAGGCCAACCCUGGUCCUCCAGAACCCCCAACAGCCCAACCCUGGUCCUCCAGAACCCCCAACAGCCCAACCCUGGUCCUCCAGUAACCCCAACAGCCCAACCCUGGUCCUCCAGAACACCCAACAGCCCAACCCUGGUCCUCCAGAACCCCCAACAGCCCAACCCUGGUCCUCCAGAACACCCAACAGCCCAACCCUGGUCAUCCAGUACCCCCAACAGCCCAACCCUGGUCCUCCAGAACCCCCAACAGCCCAACCCUGGUCCUCCAGUACCCCCAACAGCCCAACGCUGGUCCUCCAAUACCCCCAACAGCCCAACCCUGGUCAUCCAGUACCCCCAACAGCCCAACCCUGGUCCUCCAGAACCCCCAACAGCCCAACCCUGGUCCUCCAAUACCCCCAACAGCCCAACCCUGGUCCUCCAGAACACCCAACAGCCCAACCCUGGUCAUCCAGAACCCCCAACAGCCCAACCCUGGUCCUCCAGAACCCCCAAUAGUACACAUUUCCGUUGUAGUCCUGGACAAACACACCUGAUUCAAUUCAUUGAGGGCUUGAUGAUUAGUUGACAAGUUGAAUCUGGUGUGACUAUCUAGGGCUACAAUGAAAAGGUGUACUGUUGAGGGCACUAUAGGACCAGGGUUGGAAAGCACUGGUC